rnacentral:miRNA from 1 species
UAGAUUAAGGCAAAAUAAAACCCAAAAAAUCUCAGACAGAUAUACACAUAUACAUGUAUAUAUGUAAAUGUCCAUCGGUUCCCGCACAUGUAUGUAUAUGUGUAUAUUUGUUUGAGAUUCUUCGGGUUUUAUUUUGUCUUAAUCUA